rnacentral:siRNA from 1 species
UCUUUCCCACUGGUGACGAGGUAA